rnacentral:rRNA from 1 species
UACGGAGGGUGCGAGCGUUGUCCGGAAUCACUGGGCGUAAAGGGCGCGUAGGCGGCUUCUCAAGCGUGUGGUGAAAGUCCGGGGCUCAACCCCGGAUCGGCCGUGCGGACUGGGAAGCUCGAGUUCUGUAGAGGCGGGUGGAAUUCCGGGUGUAGCGGUGGAAUGCGUAGAGAUCCGGAAGAACACCGGUGGCGAAGGCGGCCCGCUGGGCAGAGACUGACGCUGAGGCGCGACAGCGUGGGGAGCAAACAGG